GUAGGUGGCAAGCGUUGUCCGGAAUUAUUGGGGCGUAAAGCGCGCGCAGGCGGUUCUUUAAGUCUGAUGUGAAAGCCCACGGGCUCAACCGUGGAGGGUCAUUGGAAACUGGAGAACUUGAGUACAGAAGAGGAAAGCGGAAUUCCACGUGUAGCGGUGAAAUGCGUAGAGAUGUGGAGGAACACCAGUGGCGAAGGCGGCUUUCUGGUCUGUAACUGACGCUGAGGCGCAAAAGCGUGGGGAGCAAACAGGAUUAGAUACCCUGGUAGUCCACGCCGUAAACGAUGAGUGCUAAGUGUUAGGGGGUUUCCGCCCCUUAGUGCUGCAGCUAACGCAUUAAGCACUCCGCCUGGGGAGUACGGCCGCAAAGGCUG
rnacentral:rRNA from 1 species